AGAAAGUGCUCCCAUUGAGCUUCUGUGGGAGGGGUAGGUGACAUGAAAAAAUGUCAUCAGGCACAGUGGAGAGGGAGAAGGGAGCAACUCCAUCCAAGUCCCUCUGCCUUUCUAGUAACCAACUAUUGAGGAGGGGGUGGCCAUAUGCCCACAGAGUGCUCUGUGUGCCAUCUUUGGUACCCAUACCAUAGGUUUGCCAUCACUGAGCUAGAAGAUCAGGAAAGGCUUCAUGGAAAAAAAUGUUAUUUGAUCUCAAUCUUGAAGUAAAGAGCUUAAAGAAAUUGAGGUCAAAAGAAUGUCAUACAACUAGCAAGUGGCAUGCUGGGACAAGAAGCCCCUUUCUCCAGCCUAAUGAGGAAUGGAACUUCCUGAGGCUGCUCCAGGCUUCUGGGUCCACCUCUUCUGGCUGAGAAAUAGUUCCUUCUAAGAACACUUCACAGUCACUAUUGCUUCAUUCACCUGUGUCCAGCCCAAAACUUCCCAACUAGCUUUCAGUUUCUUUCCUUCUAAGCUAUCAGUACAGAGCUUUAACCUCUUCCUUUCAAAGAAAUGACUCCUCCAUUUUACUCUAAGACUUCUCAAAGUAGCCACUAUCAAUUUCUGUGAACCCACUGAAAUAAUCAAAUAAAACAAGAGUAAAAUUAAAUUCA
rnacentral:lncRNA from 1 species